rnacentral:rRNA from 1 species
GAUGAACGCUGGCGGCGUGCCUAAUACAUGCAAGUCGAGCGAACAGACGAGGAGCUUGCUCCUCUGACGUUAGCGGCGGACGGGUGAGUAACACGUGGAUAACCUACCUAUAAGACUGGGAUAACUUCGGGAAACCGGAGCUAAUACCGGAUAAUAUAUUGAACCGCAUGGUUCAAUAGUGAAAGACGGUUUUGCUGUCACUUAUAGAUGGAUCCGCGCCGCAUUAGCUAGUUGGUAAGGUAACGGCUUACCAAGGCAACGAUGCGUAGCCGACCUGAGAGGGUGAUCGGCCACACUGGAACUGAGACACGGUCCAGACUCCUACGCGAGGCAGCAGUCGGGAAUCUUCCGCAAUGGGCGAAAGCUUGACGGAGCAACGCCGCGUGAGUGAUGAAGGUCUUCGGAUCGUAAAACUCUGUUAUUAGGGAAGAACAAAUGUGUAAGUAACUAUGCACGUCUUGACGGUACCUAAUCAGAAAGCCACGGCUAACUACGUG